rnacentral:rRNA from 2 species
GAUUUCUGAUUGACCACCCUGGCCCGCGGCUAUCCGGUCGUGAGUGCUGGUGUGAGUCUGUCAUCCUUCUAGAGAGCCAUGCCUGCUGUUCACUCAGCUGGGCGUGUGCGAUCUAGAUCAUUUACUUUGAAAAAAUUAGAGUGUUUAAAGCAGGCUUAUGCUGUGAAUACAUUAGCAUGGAAUAAUAAUAUAGGACUUUUGUUCUAUUUUGUUGGUUCAUAGAAUGAAAGUAAUGAUUGAUAGGGAUAGUUGGGGGUGCUAGUAUUCAGCGGCCAGAGGUGAAAUUCUUGGAUUCGCUGAAGACUAACUACUGCGAAAGCAUU